rnacentral:rRNA from 1 species
AGCAGCCGCGGUAAUUCCAGCUCCAAUAGCGUAUAUUAAAGUUGUUGCAGUUAAAAAGCUCGUAGUUGAAUUUCGGGAUCAAUAUGUUGGUCGUGCCUUGGUACGUACUGGCAUUAUCGAUUCCUACCUUCUGAAGAACCUCGAUGUCAUUAAUUUGGUGUCUUGGGGAAUCAGGACUGUUACUUUGAAAAAAUUAGAGUGUUUAAAGCAAGCUAACGCUUGAAUACAUUAGCAUGGAAUAAUGGAAUAGGACGUUCGAUCCUAUUUUGUUGGUUUCUAGGAUUGACGUAAUGAUUAAUAGGGAUAGUUGGGGGCAUUAGUAUUCAAUUGUCAGAGGUGAAAUUCUUGGAUUUAUUGAAGACUAACUACUGCGAAAGCAUUUGCCAAGGAUGUUUUCAUUAGUCAAGAACGAAAGUUAGGGGAUCGAAGACGAUCAGAUACCGUCGUAGUCUUAACCAUAAACUAUGCCGACUAGGGAUCGGAUGAUGUUAAUUUUUAAUGACUCAUUCGGCGCCUUAAC